rnacentral:rRNA from 1 species
UCAUGAAAGCCGGUUGUACCCGAAGUCCAUGUUGCCAACUCGCAAGAGAGGCAGUGGCCGAAGGUAUGGCUGGUGAUUGGGAUG